GUAAAACUCCUCCGUUCUCCCAGUCACCCAACAGUUCGGGAGGUGAGGUUCACGUCAAAGCUCAGCGAAUGGGGAACCCUUUCGAAUUUCCUCAAUCAAAACUCCCCGCCACAAUUCAACACUAUUCAGCCGCACCGGCGUCCACGUCACGCUACAUGCAUUAAGCUCUCUGAUUGGUUCGUGUUCCCCACGCCGAACAUAUUCGCGUUAGUCCAACACACCUCGCGUGCGCUAUGAUACUUCCCGAGCACGGCUCUUUUGGUGCAUCCACACGCUUCUCUCAAUUCGUGGCGGUUCACGAAGCCUCUCCUACCGUACACCUGUAAGAUAAGGAUACAGUGCACGAGCGCCAGACCGAGAGAGAGAGAGAGAGAGAGGAAGUGUUUAGAGAGAGAAAGUGCUAGAGAGAGAACAUUGGGAGUCUCGGAGGAGAUCUGAUCGAAACGUGAGGUAAAGAAGCUUGAAACUCCGUUGUUCUUCUUAUGCCAAAUUUCCUUUUAUGUGUAUGCAUGUAGACAUAUAUAUAUAGGUCAUAUUUAUUUGUUCAUCUGUUUCUUCUUCGGUUAUUAAAUAAAGAAACCAGAUCGGAGGAGGUUUGCGUUAGGUUUUGGCAUUUUCUCCACUCGGUGAGGAAGCCCUAAUUUAAUUGCGUUCUUGGUUCGGGAAUUAGGGUUUUUGUGGAUCGCAAAACCCUAGUUUGUAGCCAAUUUUAGGAAUACGUUCCCGUGCGAGGGAAAAAGGUUGAAUCAAGUGAAAAGGCGUGAAUUAGGGUUUUUCAGUUACAUGUAUGGCUUCGGGGCCUAUAGUUGGAGAAGGAAAUGAUGGAGCUAAAGAGAAGCAGAGAUACACGGAGAGCAAGGUUUAUACAAGAAAAGCUUCUAAAGGUCCCAAGAAACAGAAUAAUAAUGUUGUCACUACCACCACCACUGCAACCACCGCCGGCGAUGCUACCACUAACAACAACAGUACCGUAAACAAUCCCGAUAUUGCCACAGUUACUACGGCAACGACGACGAACGAUAAGAACAACAACAGUACCGAAAACGUAAACCUAAUCGAAGCGCCUCCGCAAGCCCUAGCGUCAGAGAAUGCGAAUUUGGCUCAGCAACAGAUCAUAUCUCGAAUUGAUGCUACUUCUGAUGACUCUUCGAGCCUUAAUCGGCCGCAGCUUGUUGCUGCAAGUGCCCAGGACCAGGCACCUGGGAACAGGAUGGUAAAGCAAGGUUCCGAUAAUAGAAUUAGAAUCAAUUUGGCAACAAGAUCGAAACAGGAGAUGCGGGAGCUAAGGAAGAGGCUUGAAAAAGAGCUUGAUUUGGUAAGGAGUUUGGUGAAGAAAAUAGAAGCGAAGGAAGGGCAGAUUAGUGGGUUGAGCAACGCUCUUUUUUCUGUUAAUGAAGGGGUUGAUAAUGGAGUGAAGAGGAUUCACUCAGAGGUGGCUUCAGGCGGAGUUCCUCGUGAGGUUAUUCGACAGUCUAGGCCUUUGAACCAACUGAGUAUAUCUGUGUUGGAGAAUAGUCAGGGUGUUACCGAGAAUGUGGAGAAAGAGAAAAGGACUCCGAAGGCAAAUCAGUUCUAUAGGAAUUCUGAAUUCUUGCUUGCAAAAGAUAAGUUCCCACCAGCAGAGAGCAAUAAGAAAUCAAAAUUGAACGGGAAGAAACAAGGAGGGGAACUGGGACAUGGCUUUGGGCCUGGCUCCAAGGUUUUCAAGAGUUGUAGUGCGUUGCUAGAACGAUUGAUGAAGCACAAGCAUGGCUGGGUUUUUAAUGCCCCGGUUGAUGCAAAGGGUCUUGGUUUGCAUGAUUACUUCACCAUUAUUAAACAUCCAAUGGAUUUAGGAUCUGUGAAGUCAAGGCUGAACAAGAAUUGGUACAAGUCACCAAGGGAAUUUGCGGAGGAUGUGAGACUUACUUUUCACAAUGCUAUGACAUAUAAUCCCAAAGGACAGGAUGUUCACAUAAUGGCAGAGCAGUUGUCAAAGAUAUUUGAGGAUAAAUGGACUGCCAUAGAGGCUGACUAUAAUCGUGAGAUGAGGUUUGCUUCAGAAUAUGAUAUGGUUCUUCAUACACCUACAACAAGAAAAGCUCCUCCAUUUCCUCCACCCCCUCUUGAUAUGAGAAGAAUCUUGGACAGAUCAGAAUCUAUUACACGACCUGUUGAUAUGAGGUCGAAAUCCAUCACUACUACUCCGUCUGGUAGGACCCCUGUUCCAAAGAAACCGAAGGCUAAGGAUCCACAAAAACGGGACAUGACAUAUGAGGAGAAACAGAAACUUAGUAAUAACCUUCAGAGUUUGCCUUCAGACAAGCUUGACAACAUAGUACAAAUCAUUAAGAAGAGGAAUUCAGCCCUCUUCCAACAUGAUGAUGAAAUUGAAGUGGAUAUUGAUAGUGUUGAUGCGGAAACUCUUUGGGAGCUUGACAGGUUUGUGACCAACUACAAAAAAAGUUUGAGCAAGAACAAGAGAAAAGCUGAACUUGCUAUUCAAGCCAGAGCAGAAGCUGAGCAAAAUGUCCAGCUCCAGGAGGAGACCCCAGCUCCAGCGACGGUGGAAUUGCCGAAAGAAACAAAAGCAGAUGAAAGGAAUGUUUCCACAUCAUCAUCUAUACAAGUGCAAAAGCACGGAGAUAAUGCAAGUAGAUCAAGUAGUUCAAGCAGCUCUUCAAGUGAUUCUGGUUCUUCAUCAAGUGACUCUGAUAGUGAAAGUUCCUCGGGAUCUGGAUCUGAUGCAGGGCAUUCUCCUAGGACAUAAUCUUGAUAAGUUAGGAUAACCUCCUCUAUGAGCCAAAAUUGAAUUAUUUGGAUUUUUAUGGGAGGGCAUUAAAGACAGACUGAAGAUAUACCCCCGUUUCAAAAGCUAAAUUGGUUUUGCUUCGAUGUGCAUUUACCUCAUUGUAGUGCCUUCUCUAUGUUGAGAGUAUGUAUUAACAUGAUUUGCUAGUUACUCUCCUUGUGUCUAUUAUAUAAGCUCUAGAAGAUAUCCUUGUAAUUUGGACUUCUAGGAAUAACAAAUUUUAUAGAAAAGUUCUUUAUAUGCCAGCUGCUUUUGAUUUAUGGAGCUUGUAAAAUUUCCGUGAACUUUCCCACUUACGCCUUUCAAUAUUGUUCUUUAGGCGUCACUGAGUCCAAUGCUCAUGGCUACAGCAAUUGUUUAACUAGUCUUAGGAUUGGGAACAGCUUGGUAUAAAUGGAUGGUAAAUCCAAUAGAUUAAUUUCAUGAACAUUUUUUAUGGUGGUUGAGAAGAAGAAAUGCAUACUCAAACCGCGCAGCUACUGAUAUCCACAUUGCCUUAUCUUCCUUUCAUGACAAGUUGAUCAAAAGUCUCAUGCGUUACUUGAGUGCAAUAGUUAGUUGAUGCUAAUUUUACAUGUAAUGAUCAUAUUUUUAGCUGUGUUCUUGUCCAAUGCUAAUUUGCCUUGUCACAUGCUAAGAAUGUAUUUUAGAAGAAUAUUUUCUUCUAUCUUUUCUUAAAAAAAAAUAAAAAUGUAAAGUGUAUGUACAAGGUACCAAAAGAGGGUACCAGCCGUGGACAAAAGAUUUACAAGAUAGUUAUCAUGUCAAUGACAUUCCUAAAAUUCUCAUCACUAAUAUUUUUCUUCUACCUUUCUACUUAUCAUUUUGAGUUGUCAUUUCAUUACUUGCUUUGCUUGUGUUCCUCUUGAUAUUGCGAGGAUGAUUUUGCCAUUUGCUUAUCCUCUGUUAGAGUAGAUGUUUGGCUUGACAAUAAUUUUGCUAUUCCUUAUGUUUUCUCCAGUAGAUCUUGCCAGAUUUAGCAUUAGCAUUUUGUUUGCGCAACAUAUGUGUGUCAUUUAGCUGAUUGUUGACAGAAAGGCAUGCAGAAGAGAGUGUUGAGACAUUGCCUUUAAUACCCAGGAUGAUGGACAUCAAAGAUAAGUAAAUAGACCAGUGAGAAUGGUGGUCGGAAAGGAUAGGCAAUGCAUUGUUUAGGAAGAGUUUCCUCCAUUUGGUUAGUGUCAUUAAGGAAAUCUAAUGAAUACAGCAGCCUUGUUUGGGCUAAAGCAGCACGUGAGAGCAUUCCCAAAGAUCAUCAUUCUAGUCCUGCAUAAUUUAAGAAAAUAUAGGUGACGUGUUACGGCAUUGAAGCUUUCAAGUUUGUGGAGAUGAUUAGAAUCCGAGAAAAGAUGUAGAGUGGGUAAAACUGUGGAGGUGUCCAACCCAUAGUUUUGCCAUUGCAGAGGGUCUGUUUGAACUGGAGCCAGCCUCUCAGUGUCUCUCUGCCAAGUAGAUGUGGAGUAUCCAUUUCCACAGAACAGAUUUGUAUAAUAGGUGGUAGGAUGUGGUUAUGAUGAUUUUAGAUGGUCUGGUCAGUUUGUUUGGUGUACAUUGCUAACUAAUAUUUACUACUACACUCAUUGUAGUCCUUCUUUAUGUUUUUGGUCGUAUGCAAGCAUUUGAGAUUCAUUCGGAUUAGACUGUCAGAUAGUUGUAAUUCAAGCUCAUCAAAUCAUUAUUGCUUCUUCAUGUCCAA